rnacentral:rRNA from 1 species
ACAUAUGGAAUGGAUAACCGCUGAAGGCAUCUAAGCGGGAAACCAACCUGAAAACGAGUGUUCCCUAUCAGAGCCGUGGUAGACGACCACGUUGAUAGGCCGGGUGUGGAAGUGCGGCAACGCAUGAAGCUUACCGGUACUAAUAGCUCGAUUGGCUUGAUUGUUCUCAUU